UUUUUUGCAUUCAUUUUUCAUGCUUCAGUGAUCUGGGAGUGUUUAUAAUGCUGUGACUUUAACACUUCAUGACUGAGAGCUGCUGCUACAGCAACUUCACCCACAGCUACCAUGACUUUGAUCCCCGUCUUCAUCUGGACACUGAUCCUCUGGACUCAAGAAUGCAGAGGUCAAGUCACAGUAACUCAGACUCCUGCAGUGAAAUCUGUUCUUCCAGGAGAAACAGUCACCAUCAACUGUAGAACCAGUCCGGGAGUGUAUAGUGGAAACCAUUUACACUGGUAUCAGCAGAAACCUGGAGAAGCUCCUAAACUCCUGAUUAAAUAUGUAAAUCAGAGACAGUCAGAUUUUCCAGCUCGUUUCAGUGGCAGUGGAUCUGGAUCUGAUUUCACUCUGACCAUCAGUGGAGUCCAGACUGAAGAUGCAGGAGAUUACUACUGUCAGAGUUACCAUUACAUCAGUAGCACCAACCUGUUCACACAGUGUUAUAGAGUCGUACAAAAACCUCCCUCAGUCAGAUUGUAGAGAGACUGAACUGCUGCAGCUGGGAGCGACUGCAGGUGCUGAGUUGGAGGAUGUGAUAC